UUUCCGUGUCAAAUAGCUUCAACGUCUCUUCCUCCUGUUAGAUAAGGAAGAAGGAAAGAACCAUAUAUAUCUCUCAGAAGUUCAACAACAACAACCCUAUUUGGAGUUUUCAUGUUCAUUUGCUUUUCUCUUUCUCUAAUAUUCAUUUUUCAUUAACAGAAGAGGUGUUGGUGAUGCUGUUGACAGAAGAUAGAGAGCACAGAGGAUGAAAUGCAUGAAAGGAAAUUGCAUCUCGCUCCUUUGUGCUCCCUAUUCUUCUGUCAUCACCCUUCUACCUUCCCUCCUACGCUUUAACUAGCUUUAUAUAUCAUGCAAAAUCGAAUCCUAUAUAGUUUUAUUACCAUUAGUUGAUAAGAUACGAGGAUUGAGGUUGUGUUUUUUUUUUAAAGAUAUUCUUUGAACACAGUUCUUCUAGCUUGUUCUUGAUGCUGCUUUGAUGAUGCUGUUACUGGUCCAGUAUAUGCAUUACUAGCUUUCAUGGAGACUUAUCAUAUACAGCGUGGCAAUGGCAAGUAAGAAGCUGAGGAGAUAGACCACAGCAUCUGUUACUUUUUUUUUUUAAAUCAAUAAAUAUAAUUACUGAUGUAAAUUUUACUGUUGUUCGUAACAAAGUUAUAUUUAUUGAUUUUUUUGAUA